rnacentral:lncRNA from 1 species
ACUCUGUUAACAGAGUCCAUUGCUAAAACUCCUCGUUAGUAUUUACCACUCCUCCAGUCUGUGUUUUGAAGCAGUGGUUUUCAACCACUGCCCGUUUUCAGAAGAAAUCAUCUCAAGCGUCCGUGUGCUGCUAGAAGCCGGGCCGGGAGGUCUUGGUGCCGGACUCCACCCUGCAGCCCUUCCCUUUCGCCACCGCCCUGUGCUUAGAGAAACCUUAGAGUGGAGCAAUGAGUCGCCCUUGACUGAGUAACUCUUCGGGGUCAACUUCUCCUUCCACGCCAAGGAAAGGAUUCCAGGGCGAUGUUUCUGGAAAUAGAGAUCUGACCAAGCCACUGCUCUGUCUCUUUCAGAGCAAUGCAAACCUGAAACUACUCCUGCCAAGAAACGAUUGCAGCUCUUCCCGGAAAAGUUAAAGCCUUUGAGAAACAAAGCUGAGGUUGAAAGUAUUAGUCCAUUUUAUAGAUGAAGAAAUGGAGGCCCAGAGAGAUCACGUGACUUAGCCAAGUCCACCAAGUGAGUAGACGGAGAUGACCUGACCUCUGGAGUUCUGUCUCUAACAUACCCUAGUUCUUUCUUGAUUGUCCAUAAUAUACAAACACAGUGGCCUGAGAAUAUUUACUCCCCUGGUCGUAAGAAGGAGAACUAAGAAAGAGACUGAAGCAUGGUCUGUGGAGAAGGCA